AAUCCUAAUUUUUAGUUCUCUUCUCUCUCAGCCGUCACACAAACCCAUCUCAGAUCUAGUAGCCAAGCAAAAUCUCUCUCUCCCAUGCAUCUCUCUCUCUGACGCCAGAGCUCUCAAUCUCUAGCAGGACCUCUCUCAAGCUCCCUCCUCUCUCUUGCUCGCCUUCAGAUCUCCUCUCUAGCCGGAUUCUCUCUCUCCCGUGCCUCUCUCUCUCGCCGGACCUCCCUCACGGUUAGCUCUCUCUCUUGGUGUAGGAUGGUGUAGAAGAAGCAUGGCAGAAGAUGAUGUAGAAGAAGCUUGACGGAGGAGGCUCCUCGCCGUGACUUCUCCAACGACUUAAACCGUUGAGAAGCUUAUCGCUGUCAAUCCCUUCAACCCUGAGAUCUUACCUGAUCUUAUGAACACUCGUAUGGUAGCUUGAAUCUUGGUCAAGAGCAUUUGGUGGGAAAGAUUCCCCCUGUCUCGGAGAGUAACCAGGUGGAAGAUUCAUAUAUAUUUCCUCCUCUAAAUCUCCAUUGAGGAAGGCAUUUGAUAUGUCUAGUUGAGAGAGAGACCAGCCCUUUGCAGCCGCAACAGCAGUAAGAAGUCCCUAUAUGGAUUCAAACAGGCAUCUCGCCAAUGGUUCUUGAAAUUCACAGCUGCUUUACAUCAGUUAGGAUUCAAGACUUCUUCUGGCGAUCACACACUUUUCAUCAAGAAUUCUGGCAAUGUUUACAUGGCUGUCUUGGUCUAUGUUGAUGAUAUUAUAAUUGCCAGUAGUUGUGAUCAUGCCAAGGCGCUCUUAAAAACAGCUCUUGAAGCUUCUUUUAAACUCAGAGACUUGGGUACACUUCGAUAUUUCUUUCUUGGGGUAGAGAUCGCUCGUUCUUCUGCUGGGAUUACUCUAUGUCAACGCAAAUACAAUGUGAAAUCUAUAUAAACCAAUACUUUCUUCUAUUUUCUCUGAUGUUUAUGUGAAUUUUCAUUGGUUUAGUCGUUUCUUGUGAUUAUGUAAACCAUAUAUCGAAUAAAAAUAAGAACUUUUAGAUAUAUGGGUGAGUGUUUUCUGGUGAAGCUCAAAGAGAACGUGUGAUCUUAUUCUCUAAAUUUAUUGUUAUGCUGGUGGUGGCUGCUGGUGCAAACCCUGUAUUGAUUACUAGAGGAAUUGAGAAGACAGCAAAGGCUUUGGUUGCCGAGCUCAAGAAAAUGUCUAUGGUGGUUGAAGACAGUGAGCUUGCGGAUGUGGCAGCUGUUAGUGCGGGUAACAAUGCAGAUAUUGGAAGUAUGAUCUCUGAAGCAAUGAUCAGAGUGGGCAGGAAUGGUGUGGUGACUCUUGAGGAGGGUAAAAGUGCCAAGAACACUCUCUUACGUUGUGGAAGGAAUGCAGUUUGAGGAAGUGUAAUGAUUUUGAACAAGAGAAUGUGACGUGUAACCAAUCAUUUGAAUAAAUCAUGAUUCCUUGUAAUGGUACAGUGAGCUGAACUUGAUCCUUUAGUCUUCCCUAGACAUGUAAUCCGCAUCACCCUUCCACUUGGAUCCUUUUGUUACGUACCAAUCUUUGUUUUUACUCUAAACAAUGACCAACUCUGCAAGAUGACAAAGUGUAAUUGGCUUUA